rnacentral:rRNA from 1 species
GGUUAAGUGACUAAGCGUACAUGGUGGAUGCCUUGGCAGUCAGAGGCGAUGAAGGACGUACUAACCUGCGAUAAGCUGUGAGAAGUCGGUAAGAGACGCUAUUACUCACAGAUUUCCGAAUGGGGAAACCCACCCGAGAUAACUCGGGUAUCUGUUACUGAAUACAUAGGUAACAGAGGCGAACCGGGAGAACUGAAACAUCUAAGUACCCCGAGGAAAAGAAAUCAACCGAGAUUCCCUCAGUAGCGGCGAGCGAACGGGGAUUAGCCCUUAAGCAUCUUGGAAGUUAGUGGAACGGUCCUGGAAAGGCCGGCGAUACAGGGUGAUAGCCCCGUACACGAAAACAACCUUGAUGUGAAAUCGAGUAGGGCGGGACACGUGACAUCCUGUCUGAAUAUGGGGGGACCAUCCUCCAAGGCUAAAUACUCCUGACUGACCGAUAGUGAACCAGUACCGUGAGGGAAAGGCGAAAAGAACCCCUGUGAGGGGAGUGAAAUAGAACCUGAAACCGUGUACGUACAAGCAGUGGGAGCCCUUCGGGGUGACUGCGUACCUUUUGUAUAAUGGGUCAGCGACUUACAUUUUGUAGCGAGGUUAACCGUAUAGGGGAGCCGUAGGGAAACCGAGUCUUAACUGGGCGUCUAGUUGCAAGGUGUAGACCCGAAACCGGGUGAUCUAGCCAUGGGCAGGUUGAAGGUUGAGUAACAUCAACUGGAGGACCGAACCCACUAACGUUGCAAAGUUAGGGGAUGACCUGUGGCUGGGGGUGAAAGGCCAAUCAAACUCGGAGAUAGCUGGUUCUCCCCGAAAGCUAUUUAGGUAGCGCCUCGGACGAAUACUACUGGGGGUAGAGCACUGUUUGGGCUAGGGGGUCAUCCCGACUUACCAACCCCAUGCAAACUCCGAAUACCAGUAAGUAAUAUCCGGGAGACACACGGCGGGUGCUAACGUCCGUCGUGAAGAGGGAAACAACCCAGACCGCCGGCUAAGGUCCCAAAGUUCUGGUUAAGUGGGAAACGAUGUGGGAAGGCUCAGACAGCUAGGAUGUUGGCUUAGAAGCAGCCAUCAUUUAAAGAAAGCGUAAUAGCUCACUAGUCGAGUCGGCCUGCGCGGAAGAUGUAACGGGGCUCAAACCA